rnacentral:rRNA from 1 species
CAGCAGUCGCCGCGGGAAUACGGAGGGUGCAAGCGUUAAUCGGAAUUACUGGGCGUAAAGCGCACGCAGGCGGUUUGUUAAGUCAGAUGUGAAACCCCCGAGCUUAACUUGGGAACUGCAUUUGAAACUGGCAAGCUAGAGUCUUGUAGAGGGGGGUAGAGGAUGGCGGAAUUCCCGGUGUAGCGGUGAAAUGCGUAGAGAUCGGAAGGAACAUCUGUGGCGAAGGCGACUACCUGGGCCAACACUGACACUGAGGCACGAAAGCGUGGGGAGCAAACAGGAUUAGAUACCCCGGUAGUCCCUG